rnacentral:lncRNA from 1 species
GUUACACGUUAGCUGCUCCCAAUAUAUCAGAAGUAGACUGCUAAAUCUUUUGACCCAAAGCAAAUUAUGAACACCUCUAGCCAGGGAUCCAGAAAAAUCCAAGAUUCAAGGUCCAAUGAAACAAGUAUAAACAAUACACAUAAAUGAAUGGAAGCAUCCUGACUCCAAAGCUUGUAAUCUAAUCAGCUCUCACAGGAAUGUGGGUCUCACCAGUACAAAAUUCAAUUAUCACCAAGGUGACAUGGACUAUCAGUGUUAGAAAGCAAGCUUCAUUCACCAUUCCUCAUCCCACCCAUGCCAUAUUCCACUAUCAGGUCUGUAAAAUCAAGGGCUGUGGCUUCAGCCUGCGUAUCUGCCAGUCUGGGUAGUGUGGGGAUGGGGAGUGGGAAGUAGGACUGAGUCCCUAAGGAGAAAGCAAGCUGGCAGAGCCACAAUCUGUGAUGCCUGUGGGAGUGCUGAGCCUUUAUGAUUUCCUGUGUUCUGGUUGUCCUGGUAACCUGAGGCCUCCCUAUUUGUGUUGGCAUCAUAGGGCCAAGAGCGGAAGCAAAGCUGGAGCCCCAGGAAGACUUGCAGGAAAAAAUGUGGGUAAUGCAGUAGUUAUGUCACUGGAGGGUCAAGGCUAGGGCACAAGAAUUACCUGGUUAGGGUGGCGCAGGGUGGGCUAUGGUAGGGUCUUGUAAAUAUCACACUUCCAGAUUCUACUUCCAACAUUUCUGAUUCAGGAGAGAAAAAGUAUAGCCAUCACUUUCAGAAAGCCGAUAUUCUGGCACAGUAGUUCUCAACACAGGGGUGGGGGGUGAGGCAGGAUUUUGCCUUCCAGGGUACAUCUGGUAAUGUCUGAAGACAUUUUUGGUUGUCACAACUGAGAAGUUACCUCUAACAUCUAGUGGGGAGCGGCCAGGGAUGCUGCCAAACAUCCUACAGUACACAGGAAGGUCUCCCACAACAAAAGACUAUCCAGCCCAAGAUGUCAGUGCCGUGGUUGAGAGGAUACUCUGCCCUGCAACUCCAUCACCCCCAAUCCACAGAAAUCAGCGCUCCACACACAGAUUUAGGGCACGGCAGAGACUUACGUGAGGUUCCUGCAAAAAUCUGAGACCUCAAAAAUGAAUUUUUAAAAAAAUAGUGAAUAUUAUUAAAGAUAUGAAUAAGGAGGAGAAGAGAACAAGAGACAAAAAAGGGAGGUAGGUAUGGCUAACAAUGGUGAGCCAAAAGGGAAACAACGGAGGACAAAGCACUGGGUGACAACAGAAGCAAAUGAAUGCCACUUCCUCUGUGGGUAUGGCCUAUCCAUAUGGAGAAGACUGGUAAAGAGAAGCUAAAC